UUGACAGAUAGCAAGCUAAGUGAAGUAAAGUAAAACAAUCAGCUCAUUCACUGAUCUCUAGAAGAAUGGGGGAAAAAAAUCUCAUCUUAAAUCUUCGCCAAUGAGAGAUGAAUUCAACUGGGAGAGAAGACGCAAUGUUACUACAGAAACUGCAAAUAAAACACGAGUUUGCUAAAAAUGAUGGUUUCCAGCUUCAUCCACAUCCCUGCAAAGGACACGAAUACAUUCUUCACUGCUCUCUGCCUGGAAUAUCCUUCUCCUCUAAUCUACUUAACUACUACUCACUCUUCAAGGGCCUGCUCAAAGUCCACCUCACAGAAUCACAGAAUGUCAGGGACGAAAAGGACCUUACAAAUCCACUGAAUCCAAAUAUUUUUAACGUGCUGAUGAAGAAACUAAAUGAAGAUCAGAGUUUCAGAGAAUAACCUGCCCAAGGUCAUGUUAUUGGCAGCCUGUGGCCAAGUUGGAAUUUGAACAACUUCUUCAACUAGUACCCAUUUCACUAGACUCGUUAUUUCCUCAUGUAAUUCUUAUUUACAAAAUUUAAGAUUGCAGUAAGUCAAGCUUUAGUAAUAAAUUUUUAAAAAUGUAUUUCGUGUAAGAUUCGUGUUAAUAAUACUUUUGAAAACUAAGGAGCUGAUCUACAACUUUACUUGUUAGUUUGAGUCAACUAUCUACAGCUACUUGAUUAUACAUGAAUACAGAUGUCAAAUAAUAUUCAUUUCAUAGAUAAAUAAGCUGACUGUCAGUCACUAAAUAGGAUCCUUCCUCAAGAGUGCAGCAUUUAUUUCAGCCUCUGCCAGUGGAAGUGUUGGAGCAGAUGUUGGCAGACUGUGACAUACAGUAUGUCUUUAAAACUCGUUGGGGUGUGAAAUUUCAUAAGGUCAAAAAAUGCUGCAUUUUGAUCAGCAGAUACAGGAAUUCUGUACUUUCAUAAAUUAUUUCUGAAAAACCAAUAACAUUUGCUAGUCAAAUGGAUAAACUAAAACGCUACACUGGCUUUAGGUAGGGCAUUUAGAUAAUAUAUGCUGCUUAUGUCUAAAAGCUAAUCUCUAUCACUUUAAAGUAAAUGUUCACCCAAAAAGUCUUUAAAAUGAAAAUGUGUUAAGUCAACACAAAAUACAAGAUAUUAUUUCAGUAGACAAUAGGAUUUAAAAAAUACUUUUCUACUGAAAGAAAGCUAUUAUUAUCUAAUGAGCAUUUUGGUGGGAAAAAAAAGAUGUUUUCCUUAACUAAUACACAUACUUUAUAGUGAUCUCAUUUUUAAAAUAUCUAUAUAAGAAUCCACUGAUAUAAACAGAGAAAGCUUUUUUUAAAGUUAGUAUCCUUAUCAAAUGACUUCACAAAUCUUUUAAUGCUUUGGUUUAUAGUUUUAGCUUUUACUUAAAAAAAAUACAA